rnacentral:tRNA from 1 species
GGGCCCAUAGCUCAGCGGUUAGAGCGACUCCCUCAUAAGGAGCAGGUCGCAGGUUCAAAUCCUGCUGGGCCUACC